UGGGGAAUAUUGGACAAUGGGCGAAAGCCUGAUCCAGCCAUGCCGCGUGUGUGAAGAAGGUCUUCGGAUUGUAAAGCACUUUAAGUUGGGAGGAAGGGCAGUAAGCGAAUACCUUGCUGUUUUGACGUUACCGACAGAAUAAGCACCGGCUAACUCUGUGCCAGCAGCCGCGGUAAUACAGAGGGUGCAAGCGUUAAUCGGAAUUACUGGGCGUAAAGCGCGCGUAGGUGGUUCGUUAAGUUGAAUGUGAAAGCCCCGGGCUCAACCGGGGAACUGCAUCCAAAACUGGCGAGCUAGAGUAGGGAAGAGGGUGGUGGAAUUUCCUGUGUAGCGGAGAAAUGCGUAGAUAUAGGAAGGAACACCAGUGGCGAAGGCGGCCACCUGGGCUCAUACUGACACUGAGGUGCGAAAGCGUGGGGAGCAAACAGG
rnacentral:rRNA from 1 species